CACGCCCUAAACGAUGCAUUCUAGUUAUUCGGAGUAUCGACCCUCUGAGUGACGUAGCUAACGCGUUAAGAAUGCCGCCUGGGAAGUACGAUCGCAAGAUUAAAACUCAAAGGAAUAGACGGGGACUUGCACAAGCAGUGGAUUAUGUGGUUUAAUUCGAUGGUAAACGAAGCACCUCACCAAGAUUUGAAAUUUACACGACAGUCACAGAAAUGUGAUCUUCCGCAAGGACGUGUAUUCAGGUGU
rnacentral:rRNA from 1 species